rnacentral:rRNA from 1 species
UACGGGGGGGGCAAGCGUUGUUCGGAAUUACUGGGCGUAAAGGGCUCGUAGGCGGCCAACUAAGUCAGACGUGAAAUCCCUCGGCUUAACCGGGGAACUGCAUCUGAUACUGGAUGGCUUGAGAUUGGGAGAGGGAUGCGGAAUUCCAGGUGUAGCGGUGAAAUGCGUAGAUAUGCGGAGGAACACCGAUGGCGAAGGCAAUCCCCUGGGCCUGCACUGACGCUCGAUGCACGAAAGCGUGGG